CUGAGCAUCCCAUACAACGAGAGAGUUGUGAUUGGUGCAGAUUGUAAUGGACAUAUUGGUAAAGGAAACAGGGGCGAUGAAGAAGUGAUGGGUAAGUACGGCAUCCAGGAAAGGAACUUUGAUGGACAGAUGGUGGUGGAGUUUGCAAAAAGGAUGGAGAUGGCUGUAGUGAACACUUAUUUCCAGAAGAGGGAAGAACAUAUAGUGACCUACAAGAACGAAGGUAGAAGCACACAGGUGGAUUAUAUUUUGUGUAGACGAUGUAAUCUGAAGGAGAUUACUGAUUGAGUGUAGCUCGACAGCAUAGGAUGGUGGUGUGUAGGAUGACUCUGGUGGUGGGUAGGAAGAUUAAGAAGACAAAGAUAGAGCAGAGAACCAUGUGGUGGAAGCUGAGCAAGGAAGAAUUGUGCGGCCUUUCGGAAAGAGGUGAGACAGGCUCUCGAUGGACAGCAGAAGCUCCCGGAAGACUGAACUACGACAGCCAAGAUAAUCAGAGGGACAGGCAGGAGAGUACUUGGUGUGUCUUCUGGUAGGAAAGGGGAGAAGGAGACUUGGUGGUGGAACCCCAAAAUACAGUGAGUCAUACAAGGAAAGAGAUUAGCGAAGAAGUGGGACACUGAUAGGACUGAGGAGAGGCGAAAGGAGUACAUUGAGAUGCGACGUAGGGAAAAGGUAGAGGUGGCAAAGGCUAAACAAGAGACAUAUGAAGACAUGUACACCAGGUUGGACACGAAAGAAGGAGAAAAUGAUCUCUACAGGUUGGCCAGACAGAGGGAUAGAGAUGGGAAGGAUGUGCAGCAGGUAAGGGUGAUUAAGGAUAGAGAUGGAAAUGUGUUGACUGGUGCCAGUAGUGUGCUAAAUAGAUAGAAAGAAUACUUUGAGAAGUUGAUGAAUGAAUAAAAUGAGAGAGAAGGAAGAGUUGAAGAGGCAAGUGUCAAGGACCAGGAAGUGGCAAUGAUUAGUAAGGGGGAAGUCAGAAAGGCACUGCAAAGGAUGGAAAAAUGGAAAGGCAGUUGGUCCUGAUGACAUACCGGUGGAGGUAUGGAAGCAAUUUGGAGAGAUGGCUGUGGAGUUUUUGGCUAACCUAUUCAACAGAAUACGAGCGGGCGAAUAAAUGCCUGAAGAAGGGAGGAAAAGUGUUCUAGUUCCCAUUUUUAAGAACAAAGGCGAUGUUCAGAGUUGUGGGAAGUACAGAGGAAUAAAGUUCAUGAGCCACACAAUAAAGUUAUGGGAAAGAGUAGUGGAGGCUAAACUCAGGACAGAAGUAAGUAUCUGCGUGCAACAGUAUGGUUUCAUGCCGAGAAAGAGUACCACAGAUGCAUUAUUUGCCUUGAGGAUGCUCGUGGAAAAGGACAGAGAAGGUCGGAAGGAGCUCCAUUGUGUCUUUGUGGAUCUAGAGAAAGCCUAUGACAGAGUACCAAGAGAGGAACUGUGUACUGCAUGCGUAAGUCUGGUGUGGCAGAGAAGUAUGUUAAAAUAGUACGGGACAUGUAUGAUGGCAGCAGAACAAGGGUGAGGUGUGCCUUAGGUGUGACAGAAGAAUUUAAGGUGGAGGUGGGACUGCAUCAGGGAUCAGCUCUGAGCCCCUUCCUGUUUGCGGUGGUAGUGGAUAAGAUGACAGAUGAGGUUAGACUGGAAUCCCCUUGGACCAUGAUGUUCGCAGAUGCUAUUGUGAUAUGCAGCGAAACCAGGGAGGAUGCAGAGGAACAAUUAGAAAGAUGGAGACAGGAGGAAAGGAGAGGAAUGAAGAUUAGCCGAAGUAAAACAGAAUAUAUGUGCGUGAAUGAGAAAGGUGGACAAGGAAGAGUGAGGCUACAGGGAGAAGAGAUAGCGAGAGUGGAGGACUUCAAAUAUUUAGGGUCAACAAUCCAGAGCAAUGGAGAGUGUGGUAAGGAAGUGAAGAAACUGGUCCAAGCAGGUUGUAACAGCUGGCGGAAGGUGUCUGGUGUGUUAUGUGACAGAAGAGUCUCUGCUAGGAUGAAGGACAAAGUUUACAAAACAGUGGUGAGACCGGCCAUGAUGUACAGAUUAGAGACGGUGGCACUGAAGAAACAACAGGAAGAAGAACUGGAGGUAGCAGAAAUGAAGAUGUUGAGGUUCUCGUUCGGAGUGAGCAGGUUGGAUAGGAUUAGAAAUGAGCUCAUUAUAGGGACAGCCCAAGUUGAAUGUUUUGGAGACAAGAUUCCAGAGAGCAGACUUUGAUGGUUUGGACAUGUUCAGAGGCGACAGAGUGAGUAUAUUGGUGGAAGGGUGCUGAGAAUGGACCUGCAGGCAAAAGAGCGAGAGGAAGACCAAACAGAAGGUUUAUGGAUGUAGUGAGGGAAGACAUGAGGGCAGUUGGGGUUAGAGAGGAAGAUGCAGGAGAUAGGCUAAGAUGGAAAAAGAUGAGAAGAACAUUUGUAGUGAUAUUAACUGGUUGUUGCUUUACAUUUCAGUAUAUGUUCACCUAAUUAAUAGAAAUAACUAGUUUUAAUAUGAUUAUAUCAGUGGUGAUGUUAUUUUUAUUUUCAGUUAACUUUAUUGUUUAAUGGGUGGGCCGGCUCUGGUCAUUCACUUUGAUUCAGGGUUGCCCUGGGUUGUAGCUCAGUUAAACCGUCUUAUAUGAUGGCCCAAAAACUUCUUUGCAGUGUUGGCAAGGUACUUGGAUAAUGUAGUGAGCUCAACUACAAGCUAUGGAAUACUUGUACUUGGUCCAUGACGUACUUACAAUCUCAUCUGUGAUCAUCAGAUACUUUCCCAUUUAACUUCCUGCUGCAUUACCAGCUGGAACAUGAACAGGCAGGAAAAACAAGUACUUUAGCCACAAGAAAAUUGAGUAAAUAUAUUAUGAGGAUACAUUUUAGUUCCCUAGAAUAGUUGUUGGGUCAAAUAAGGAUUUCUCUGACAUUGUUCAGACAUUUCAGCAAAAAUCAUAUUCAUCGUGCUGUCAAGGAUAGCCAUAUUUUAGUCAAAAACGGCACACCAUCAUUGUUUGAAAGCCAGCAGUGAUUUCACCAUGGCGUACGUGUCUUACGUGUCUUAAUUCUCCCUUUGCCCCCCACUCCCUUCCCUUCCAAUGCCACUCUUGGCCACUCCCUGACAUGCCAACAAUCUCUGAAAUUGUCAUGAGCAUCAUGGUGGUGAGUGGUAUCAUCCAGUAUGUGUGUCGUGAAAGAUUUAAUCAGAUUUUUUUUUCAUGCUGUUUGGGCCAGUGGGAGCAAUGUUUUUGCUGUGCAUGUUGGUGCAUGUUUCAUUAGAUUCCUUCUUAGCAUCUGAGGAAGGAGAGAAGGCCUUUGAUCCCUUCAUUUUCCAAGACAUUCGAAAGGCUGGUUAUGAUAUACAGAACUUUUUCAAAAUAAUUGAGGUUCAGGUUUUUCACAGAAUCAUAAAAAUCACAGAGAGGACCAGUGAUACAGUAAUGUUUGGGUAGGGAUAUAGAUAAUCCAACAAUUUCCCAAUUACUCAACACGCCAACGUAAAAACAUACAUGAAUACAUUCUUGGGCAAGUUGAAACAAUCACAUUUUUGAGAGUGGAAAAUGCAAUUGUCCGUUUAACAUCGCAGUACAGUGGAGCCCUGCAUAUUUGAAGUUCAUUUUUGUUCAGAUUUUUUUUAUUGUUUUGCAUUUUUUCAAAUUAAGUUAUGGUUCUUUUUUUUUUUGGAAAGGGUGAGGAUUAACCCAAAAACACUAAUUGGUCAUUUAUUCCAUCUUAUUGAAUAUUUUAACAAAGCAAAUUUAGAGUGCAUUUCAUAUACAAGGUAAGACAAUGUCCUUUAUAUGAUUGAAAUGGUUUAAUACAAAGAGACGAAACAUUUAAAUUUGAAAAAAAAAACAAGAAUCACAAGAAAAUUUAUAUAUUAAAAAUAAAUAAAAGUACAAUUAUAAACAGCAUACAGAGCAAGAUAUAUAAAAAUUGGGAAUACUAUAAAAAGCAAGAGAAAAAAGAGUUUUCAACCUGGAUUUAAAAACAUUCACACUUGGGGUUGACAUCACCUGUGUUGGCGACUUAUUCCAUUGCAGCAUAAUAGCUAACACCAUGUUUGCCUUGGAUUCUGGGCUCCACUAUUUGACCUGAGUCAGUCGAUCUCAGAGCUCUACUGUGUUUGUAUUUCGUUAGCAUUUCUUUCAAGUUUUCAGGACCCAAACCAUUUCGUGAUUAAUAGAUCAGUAGAAGAACUUUAAAUAUUUUCAUUCAUUAAUAAUUAUAAUAGCUCAUAGUUCUGAUGACCUGGGUUCAAAUCUGGCCUCGAUUGUGUGAGGGUUGCAUUUUCUCUCUGUGCCUGCGUAGGUUUUCUCUGGGCACUCCGGUUUCCUCCCACAUCCCAAAAACAUGCAUUAAUUGGAGACUCUAAAUUGUCCCUAGGUGUGAUUGUGAGUGCAACUGUUGUUUGUUACCAUGUGCCCUGCGAUUGGGUGUCAACCAGUUCAGGGUGUACCUGGUCUCCUGCACAAUGACAGCUGGGAAUGGCUCCAGCACUCCCGGGAAAAUGGAUGGAUGGAAGACGCACUUAAAAGUCUUAAAUUUUCUCAAAAAAAACACAGCAUGGCUAUUGUGCGCAAUUAUUUGAAUUGUUCAAUGAAGUGCACUUAAACACACUGGCUACACAGUUAACAUGUAUACUAUAACAAUUUAAUGUGUAUGUAAGCUACCAUAUGAUGCACUCCUGUGACCCUAGUGAGGAUAAGAGGCUCAAAAAAUGGGUGGAUGGAUGGAUGGAUGGAUGGAUGGAUGGAUGGAUGGAUGGACGGAAGCAUUAUACAACAACGGAAACCAUUUGAUUUUUUUUUUCAAGUGAAAGGUCCCAUUUCAUUUUAUGUAUUCAUAAUUGCGUUUUAACAACACAUUUCUGGGUUCUCACUAGGGUCGAAGCUGUGCUGGGGCCCAUCCCAGGUGACACAAUGCAAAAGGCGGGGUCCACCCUGAGCUGGUUACCAACCAAUCACAGGGCACAUUGAGUAUAAACAAACAAUCAUUCACACUCAUUUUUACACCUAUGGACAAUUUAGAGUCUUUAGUUAGCCUAUCAAAAAAUUUUUAGGGAUGUGGAAGCAAACCGAAGUUCCCAGAGAAAACCCAUGCAGGUGCGCUGGUAACAUGAAAACUGGCGAGGAGUGUUGACUGACUAGUAAAGGAGAACAUUGGCAACAGUUUCAAGAUGACAGAUUGUAAUCGUGCUCCCUGACUGGGUCAAACAAUAAGGAGCUGGAAGAGCUGGUGGCCAGGAUGUGGAGGUUCCAAGAUCCUGCCUGCUCUGGACCUAGUUUGCGUUGCGUGCAAGUUCUCAAUCGUGGGUAGCGUGGUUCUGACGAUCCGUUCAGCGGUCUGAGUUUGUCCUUUUUUGUGGCGGCCCCAAACCAGACUGUGAUGGAGGUACACAGGACUGAAUGGAUUACCUCUGUCUCAGCAGCUCUUGUGACAAGCUGUCCUUCCUCAGAAGCUGCAAGAGGUACAUCCUUUGCUGGUCUUUUUUUAGGAUGGAGUUGAUGUUCGUCCCCCACUUCAGGUUCUCAGACUGUAAUUCCCAAGAACUUGAAGGUUUCGACGGUUGACACAAUACAGUUGGACAGUGUCAGAGCAGCUGUGGUGAAGGAUGCCUCAUGAAGUCAGCAAUCAUCUCUACAGUCUUUAAAGUGCUCAACGUCAGGUUGUGUUGACCACACCAAAGCUCCAGUCUCGCCACUUCCUGUCGAUACACAGACUCGUCACCGUCUUUGAUGAGGCCGAUGACCGUGCUGUCAUCUGUGAUCUUUGGGAGUUUGACAGUCGGAUGCCAUGAGGUGCAGUCGUUCAUUUAGAGCGAGAAGAGCAGAGAGGGAGAGGACACCACCUUGGGGCCCCUUGGUGCUGAUAGUGCACAUGGAUGAGAUGGUGUGCCCCAGCCUCACCUGCUGUGUCAAGUCAAAAUUGAACUGACAUACAGAAAUGAAUCUGCAAGAAUUAAUGUAUGAUGCUACGGCUGUCUUUUUUCUUCAAGGUGGCAUUUCAAUGGUAAUUUAUUUUUAUUCAAGCCUUCCAACAUGUUUCACUCACACUAUUUUCAUAUAUUUCCUAAAAAAAAAAAAAAAAAAUUAACAAUGGCAAAAAUUAUACCACAUAAUACAUAGAAGUUCGAUGAGGUAAUGUAAUUGGCUCCUGCUCUUUACGUGUGAUGCUGUGAGAGGCUGUCUCCAAAAUGUGAGUGGUCCAAAAUAUGAAUGAAAAUCACAUAUUUCAUCAGGAAAUGAGCCGAAGAUUUUUACAAACUCUAUUUAUGGAUAUUUGUUUCUGCAGACAUGAAAAUUUGUAAUUUGUAAAUCCAGAAUUACAAAAUAAGUGCCACUUUUCUCACCAUUUAUUUUAAGCACUGCCCCAUUAGUUCACAUUCAAUGGAAGCAAACAAAUAACGCAUAAAGAAAAAGCAUAAAACUAUAAAGAAACAUAAAAUUAAUUGACUGAUUGAAUAAGAUGAAAAAUGCCAUUAUCUUUAUCAUUGCUUUAAACUUCGUAAUGCCAAUAUUUUUCCGUACCUGCAGUCAAGAAACUGUGUUGUAUUGUGAUCUCAGUUCAGUUGUCAUAUACAUUAAGUUUUGAUUUGGUUCCAAGAUGCCUUCAUUUUCCAAGAAAUUGUAAAUGCUGGUUAUGAUACACAGAGCUUUUUCAAAAUAAUUGAGGUUGAGGUUUUGAACAGGAUCAUGAAAUUCAUAGAUGACAUGAAGAGUGAUAUGGUAAAGUUCAGGUGUGGCAACAACUAAUCCAACCAUUCCCUAAUAACUCAAUAUGCCAACGUACAAAAACACGUUCACAUUCUUGGGCAAGUUGAAACAUUGUACAGCAACCAGGUUUCUGAGGGUGGAUCAUACAAUCAUCAAUUUAACAUUGCAGUUUUGCAUUUUUUUGCCAAGUGAAAACAAUAAAUCGUUUAGUGUUUUCUUUUUUGGGAUGGGGGUGGGUGGUUCACCAAACCCAAAACACUUUGGUCAUUUCUCCCUGCUUAUUCAAUAUUUAAAAUAACAAUUAUAAUAAUAACAAUAUUUUUCACAUUACAAUUAUAGUGGGCUUCAAUUCAAUUUGGGAUUUUUGCUAUUCGCAGUCAAGCUCAGUGCCUAUCGCCAACAAAUACCAGGUGGUCCACUGUAUUUCACAAACUAGAUCAGGGGUGCCCAGACGUUUUUAUCCAAAGAUCUACUUUUCAAGCAGCCAACCUCUUGCGAUCGACCAGGAGGGGGGCAAAAGAGAAACUGAAAUAGGAGGUCAGCUUGCUAGAAACGCACCUUUAUGUGCAUGCGAUCAACGUGUCUACCCCAACUGGAUCAAGCAACGAGAUGGAUGAUAGGCUGAUGUCUUUUUUUUUCUU